CGGAUUCAGGUUGGCAUGGGAACUGCACAGAAUGUUAAGCAACAAACAGAAAAAAACCAAAGCAUGUGUCAAAUGAACCUAAGAAAUAGAUGGCUCAGGAGAUGGUGUUAGCAUUGGAAAGAACAAAACAUGAAUCUGAAGCCUUCUACCACACAGCCCUCUCAAGAUAACUGGCCAUGACUGUGUCUGAUAGCCAAACUACAGAUGGCCAUACGACAGGCUUUAAUAAUGGAAAUAUGCAUAGAAGUGAACGUGCCAGCUCCCAGCAAAGGACUACAUGGGAUGUUUUGAAUUCUGUUGAUUAUCACAAUCAAAUCAUGCCUCAGCCAGAUAUACCCCUAGGAUCAAAUUGA
rnacentral:lncRNA from 1 species